CCCUAGUUACCCGAAAAAUUUGAUUGGAUCCGAUACUUAGAAAUAACCAAUCAGAUACUUUGUAACAAAUGCAACACAAUCAGUGCGUUCAGUAAGUAUAACGUUUCAAGAUGGCGGAGCGAAUUGCAUGGUUAUUGUUACAAUUACGAUGGAUUCGCAGAUAAUUCGGAAAUAGAUCAGAUUGGGAUCAAUAACUGUAUUGCAUACGAUCAUUUACAUGUAUUACCAGGUGUGUGUUGCCAGUAAUGGUUGAAGAUAUGCCAAACAAAUUGUGCCUCUCUAUACAGACAGAUUUCAGGUCUCAAUUUCGACUUCAAAGGUCAACAUAUCACUGAUAUCAGGAAUUCUGUACAACUGUGGAACCAUGUAUGGUACGUGACCGCACAAUGUUGGUUGGCAAAAGGAUAUUGGAAUAAGCAAAGGGACUCAACAUUACACAGUCAUUUCAACAUGUAGAGUCUUGUCAGCAAUGAUGGAGCAGUACCUGGUACUUCAGAUUUCCAGAAUCUCGUCAUGAGCUGAAGAUCAUUGCCUAUGAAUUUCAUGAAUGAUGUAGAAUGAUUGGACUGUUGAUGGAACCCACAGUGCAUGUCCUGCUUCAACAUCUGAGCAUAGGUCCUUGUUUAUCAGCAGUUUAGUUCUUCAAGCAGUCUGUGACAGUAACUUGAAAUGUUUGGACAUAUGACCUGGAUGGCCAAGUUCUGUGCAUGCAGCCCAUUUAAAUAGGAACGGCCCAGUGGCGCAUUAAAUGGACAUUUUUCGAAUGUUCUCGAGGAUUCAGCUUACCGCCUGACAAAAAAUCUUGCUUUUUGUUCAGUAUCGAGGCCAUGGACAUUUGUAUCAUUUGCAAAAGAUACUGCGAUAUAUGUGCCUUUGUUCAUGCUUUAUAGUUGAUUAACAAUUGGAAGCCAUAACCUGUUUUAUAGGAUGGUGUUAGUGGGACAAUGAAUUUUGUAAAGAUUUAAAGACUGGAAAAGAUAAUUAAAAGUCAAAAGAGUUCUGCUAUUGUUAAGCAUGCUUUAUUGAUUUGUAAUGUUAGAAAGAUAGCAUUAUUAACAGAAUAAAAUGUCCAUAAUUUGAA